rnacentral:rRNA from 1 species
GAUGAACGCUAGCUACAGGCUUAACACAUGCAAGUCGAGGGGAAACGACAUUGAAGCUUGCUUCGAUGGGCGUCGACCGGCGCACGGGUGAGUAACGCGUAUCCAACCUGCCCCUGACUAAGGGAUAACCCGGCGAAAGUCGGACUAAUACCUUAUGAGGUUUUCUGCAGACAUCUAACGAAAACGAAAGAUUUAUCGGUCAGUGAUGGGGAUGCGUCUGAUUAGCUUGUUGGCGGGGUAACGGCCCACCAAGGCAACGAUCAGUAGGGGUUCUGAGAGGAAGGUCCCCCACAUUGGAACUGAGACACGGUCCAAACUCCUACGGGAGGCAGCAGUGAGGAAUAUUGGUCAAUGGGCGAGAGCCUGAACCAGCCAAGUAGCGUGCAGGAUGACGGCCCUAUGGGUUGUAAACUGCUUUUAUGUGGGGAUAAAGUGAGCUACGUGUAGUUUAUUGCAGGUACCACAUAA